GCGGAGGAAAAGAAACCAACAGGGAUUGCCUCAGUAACGGCGAGUGAAGCGGCAACAGCUCAAAUUUGAAAUCUGGCUCUUUCAGGGUCCGAAUUGUAAUUUGCAGAGGAUGCUUUGGGUGCGGGCGCCUUCCGAGUUCCCUGGAACGGGACGCCAUAGAGGGUGAGAGCCCCGUCUGGUAGGAUGCCCAGCCCGUGUAAAGCUCCCUCGACGAGUCGAGUAGUUUGGGAAUGCUGCUCUAAGGGGAGGUAUACUCCUUCCAAAGCUAAAUACCGGCUGGAGACCGAUAGCGCACAAGUAGAGUGAUCGAAAGAUGAAAAGCACUUUGAAAAGAGAGUCAAAUAGCACGUGAAAUUGUUGAAAGGGAAGCGCUCGCUACCAGACUUGGGUACGCGGUUCCGUAGGUGCUCCGCACCUGCGUACUCCUCGUGCCCAGGCCAGCAUCAGUUCUUCGUCGGGUUAAAAGGCUUCGGGAAUGUGGCUCGCCUCGGUGAGUGUUAUAGCCCGUUGUGUCAUGCCCGGUGGGGGACUGAGGUACGCGCUCCGCAAGGAUGCUGGCGUAAUGGUAGCUAGUGACCCGUCUUGAAACACGGACCAAGGAGUCAACCUUAUGUGCAAGUGCCCGGGCGUAAAACCCCAGCGCGGAAUGAAAGUGAACGUAGGUGAGAGCUUCGGCGCAUCACCGACCGAUCCUGAUGUCCUCGGACGGAUUUGAGUGUGAGCAUAUAGGGUUGGACCCGAAAGAAGAUGAACUAUGCGUGUGUAGGGUGAAGCCAGAGGAAACUCUGGUGGAGGCUCGCAGCGGUUCUGACGUGCAAAUCGA
rnacentral:misc_RNA from 2 species